rnacentral:rRNA from 1 species
UACGAGUGCUUCAAGCGUUAUCCGGAAUCAUUGGGCGUAAAGGGUGCGUAGGCGGUCCUGUUAGUCUCGCGUUAAAUUUACCGGCUCAACCGGUAAGCUGCGUGGGAAACGGCAGGACUAAGAGGACGGGAGAGGUCUCUGGAACUCAUGGUGUAGCGGUGAAAUGCGUUGAUAUCAUGGGGAACACCAAAAGCGAAGGCAAGAGACUGGCCCGCUCCUGACGCUGAAGCACGAAAGCGUGGGUCGCGAAUGGG